rnacentral:rRNA from 1 species
CGUAGGGUGCGAGCGUUAAUCGGAAUUACUGGGCGUAAAGCGUGCGCAGGCGGUUUUGUAAGCCAGAUGUGAAAUCCCCGGGCUUAACCUGGGAAUGGCAUUUGGGACUGCAAGGCUUGAGUGCGGCAGAGGAGACUGGAAUUCCUGGUGUAGCAGUGAAAUGCGUAGAUAUCAGGAGGAAUACCGAUGGCGAAGGCAGGUCUCUGGGCUGACACUGACGCUCAUGCACGAAAGCGUGGGGAGCAAACAGGAUUAGAUACCCUGGUAGUCCACGCCCUAAACGAUGUCGACUGGUUGUUGGGGGUUUGGCACUCUCAGUAACGAAGCUAACGCGUGAAGUCGACCGCCUGGGGAGUACGGCCGCAAGGUUA